rnacentral:tRNA from 1 species
GAGAUAAUAGUAUAUUUAGUAUUUUUCUUUUUCGAGGAAGGGGUUUGUAUCUUA